rnacentral:rRNA from 1 species
UAACCUGCCCAAGAGAUCGGGAUAACACCUGGAAACAGAUGCUAAUACCGGAUAACAACAGAUGAUGCCUAUCAACUGUUUAAAAGAUGGUUCUGCUAUCACUCUUGGAUGGACCUGCGGUGCAUUAGCUAGUUGGUAGGGUAACGGCCUACCAAGGCGAUGAUGCAUAGCCGAGUUGAGAGACUGAUCGGCCACAUUGGGACUGAGACACGGCCCAAACUCCUACGGGAGGCGGCAGCA